GUGUCUGGUGGGUAGUUUGACUGGGGCGGUCUCCUCCUAAAGAGUAACGGAGGAGCACGAAGGUUGGCUAAUCCUGGUCGGACAUCAGGAGGUUAGUGCAAUGGCAUAAGCCAGCUUGACUGCGAGCGUGACGGCGCGAGCAGGUGCGAAAGCAGGUCAUAGUGAUCCGGUGGUUCUGAAUGGAAGGGCCAUCGCUCAACGGAUAAAAGGUACUCCGGGGAUAACAGGCUGAUACCGCCCAAGAGUUCAUAUCGACGGCGGUGUUUGGCACCUCGAUGUCGGCUCAUCACAUCCUGGGGCUGAAGUAGGUCCCAAGGGUAUGGCUGUUCGCCAUUUAAAGUGGUACGCGAGCUGGGUUUAGAACGUCGUGAGACAGUUCGGUCCCUAUCUGCCGUGGGCGCUGGAAGACUGAGGGGGGCUGCUCCUAGUACGAGAGGACCGGAGUGGACGCAUCACUGGUGUUCGGGUUGUCAUGCCAAUGGCACUGCCCGGUAGCUAAAUGCGGAAAAGAUAAGUGCUGAAAGCAUCUAAGCACGAAACUUGCCCCGAGAU
rnacentral:rRNA from 1 species